AAUUCAUGAGGAGCUCUUCUUAUAACUUCUCUGUACAAUGAGGGAAAUAAACCAUCAGGUGAAAUAACAACAGGUCCAGGUGGUAAUGAUUUCCCAUCCUGUUUGAGAUUGAACAGAAAACUUUUGGUCAGAUAAGCUUGAACAAUUGCUCGUGCACUGAGAAAGAGUAGCUGAUAUCCGUUUUCCUUGAUUGCACAGAAAAGUCUAGCGAUUCCGGAGUGGGUCCAAUCCUUUCCAACCAACGGCAUGAACUGACCAAGAACAUCAGACUUGGUAAUAGUCCCAUCAACAUCAGAAAUUACAAUCCGAGUAUUCCACUUCCACAAAUAUAUAUGGGCUUCAACCUUUUGGUCUCCCAGGACUCGAGUGGAAAAAAUGAAAGUCACCAAAUUCUGACCCUCUUUCAGUUUUAAAGAUUCAAUUUGACCAGUAGAAGGGACAUUUGUUCUCACAAGUUGCUUGCGAGGAGAUUCCUUUCCUCCUUGUGGUGAUGCUGUUUGUUCUGUAGGCUGGUUCGGUGAGAUUGAUUCAGAAUCAACAAACACCUCUUCAUUUGAUAGAUUACUGGUAGUGUGUUCGAUUGUCUUAACUCUUCUAAAUGGCAUUGGCCAAAGCCUCCAUCGUCGACCAGGAGUUGAAGGCAACCCACUAUCAUCCUCUCCUGUUUUUAGGUUCUUGUCCUGCUCCACGGGUAUGACGUCAGUGGAGUCAACAGGUAAUUCCAUAUUGUAUGCAGCCAU
rnacentral:misc_RNA from 1 species